UCUAGAAAAUCUCAUCAUCUUUUAGAACUUCAGAACUUCAGCUUCUCAAACUCUUGCAUCUCAUCUUGCAUAAAAGAAUUCAGCUAAAUAUGAAGAUCUUUGUCCUUGCCUUCAUCAUGGCUCUCAUGGUUGCCAUGACUAGUGCUGAUUCAUCUGAAGAGAAAUAUCGUCAUAGAGGAAGACAUAGGUUUCCACCCCCAUACUAUUACCCAUAUCCACAACCGUAUCCAUCUCCAUACACAUAUCCAUAUCCAUAUCCAUAUCCAGUGGCUUAUGGUGGUCAGUAAGCACAGGACAUGAUCACAGGCUUGGUGAGAAGUAUUUUUUGGUCUCUACAUGUGAUGAUUCUUCCUACUCAAAAAUGAUUUCACCCAUCUAGCAACAUAUUAUCAGUUCUCAUCUAAUAAAUAUAUCCAUAGUGCUUCCAAAAGUAUUUUAUAAAACAAUUUUUAAAGCUAGGUAUUAUUUGUUUUCUCUUAAGUAUUGGACUGGAAUUUAAAAACGGUAUGACCAACAAAUAAUGUUUCUUUGUACAAAUUCCAGCUUUCAAUAAACAAAUAGAAAAAAAAAAAGGAAAAGUCAAUCAAGUAAUGUUACCUGAAUAACAGACACCUGAGAUCAAUGAUCAAUAUUUCUAAAACAGUAGUGAUGAUAAUCUCUGGACAAUUUGAUUGUUUUCUGUACUGUUCUCUGUAUUGAAGUUACCAUAAAAUUAAAAAAAA